rnacentral:tRNA from 1 species
GGAAGUAUAAGCCUAAUUGGUAAGGCAGUAGUCUUGAAAACUACUAGUAAUCGUGUAAAAGCGGUGUGCCAGUUCGAGUCUGGCUGCUUCCU